rnacentral:rRNA from 1 species
GACGAACGCUGGCGGCGUGCCUAAUACAUGCAAGUCGAACGCAGUGGGGACGGGUGAGUAACACGUGGGUAACCUCCCAUCAGAGGGGAUAACCCGUGGAAACAGGUGCUAACACGAUAUUGAUGGAUGGAGCCGCGGGGCAUUAGCUAGUUGGUGAGGUAACGGCGCACCAAGGCCACGAUGCCUAGCCGACCUGUGAGGGUGAGCGGCCACACGGGUACGUAGAAACGGCCCAGACUCCUACGGGAGGCAGCAGUAGGGAAUCUUCGGCAAUGGACGAAAGUCUGACCGAGCAACGCCGCGUGAGUGAAGAAGGUUUUCGGAUCGUAAAACUCUGUUGUUAGAGAAGCGGUAUCUAACCAGAAAGCCACGGCUAACUACGUGCCAGCAGCCGCGGUAAUAC